AAAUUGAAGAGUUUGAUCAUGGCUCAGAUUGAACGCUGGCGGCAGGCCUAACACAUGCAAGUCGAACGGUAACAGGAAGCAGCUUGCUGCUUYGCUGACGAGUGGCGGACGGGUGAGUAAUGUCUGGGAAACUGCCUGAUGGAGGGGGAUAACUACUGGAAACGGUGGCUAAUACCGCAUAACGUCGCAAGACCAAAGAGGGGGACCUUCGGGCCUCUUGCCAUCAGAUGUGCC
rnacentral:rRNA from 1 species